UACAGAGGGGGCAAGCGUUGUUCGGAAUUACUGGGCGUAAAGGGCGCGUAGGCGGCCCGCUAAGUCGAACGUGAAAUCCCCGGGCUCAACCCGGGAACUGCGUCCGAUACUGGUGGGCUUGAAUCCGGGAGAGGGAUGCGGAAUUCCAGGUGUAGCGGUGAAAUGCGUAGAUAUCAGGAAGAACACCUAUGGCGAAGGCAGCUCUCUGGGACGGUACUGACGCUGAGACGCGAAAGCGUGGGGAGCGAACAGG
rnacentral:rRNA from 1 species